GAGCAGAGCCGAGUGGCAGCGUGCACGCAGCUCCGCAGAGCAGGCAGAGAGAGGUCAGAUUUGCAGACCAGAGCAUUUGAGGACACUCCAGAAGUCUGAGGAUCAGCGGACGCCCAUCUAGGGCUACAUUCAGAAGGUCCACUGUUGGCAUACCCCAAUGACUGGAGAUCAGGUGGACGAUGUCCUCCUUCAGGGACCAUUCUCCAGGGAACAUCUUGGAUCUACUACACCUGCCAGCUUUAAAGUUUGGGGCUCAAACUGAGAGCAAGGUCUACUCUGUCCAUCCAAACACUGAGUGUGAGAUUGCACAAAUAUGAUAGACAGCACCCCAUCAUAAAUUGUUAAUGCCUCUUAUUGAUUCCAAUAUUGCCGAAUAUAGGUUAACAAAAAUAAAAAUAAAAACUGAAUAAAGAUUUACUUGCAGUAAAAUUUGCUUCAUUUUUGAGGUUCUACCAUCAAUUUAAAAAAAAAAAAAAAGUAGUAGUGAAGGUCCUUCACAACCAACAAUGGAAACUGAUUUAGGGCCCAAUCCUGCAAACA